CCUAUAGCAUAGUGUAAAUGCAUCGGAUCCCAUUAGAACUCCACACUGGGCUAGAGUAGUACUGGGAUGGGUGACCGCCCAAGAAGUCCUAGUAUUUUACAUGC
rnacentral:rRNA from 1 species